AUCUCUCUCCGUCCGUCACGGUUGCAUAGCCACAAACCCAUAUUGUAAGUUAUUUUUCAAUCUCCUCAUUCGAUUUUCCUUUUUCGUUUCGAUUUUAGAAUCCUGAAUCCAUGUGUUGGUUUGUUGUUGUUGUUGCUUUUAUUAUUAUUGUCGGGUAAUAAUUUGAUUAUUGAUUUGGUUUCACAUUCAAUCUCCAAAUGACCCUAAUCAACCCUUUUGCAUUAAGUGACAAUUGGAGUUCACAACAUUUGAUAUAUAUAAUUAAAAAUGUUUAUGUAAUGUAGAAGACAUUAUAUGAAAGUUUGGCAACUGUAACACCCCGUUUUCCCAACAUAAAAAUUUCACAUAAAUAAUCAGAGUAUUCACAUAAACAGAAUAUCACACUUCUUUUCUUAAAAAUCAUAAACGGAAUAAUUAACUAAUUUUCCUUCAAAUUCAACAACAUAAUAAUUAAUACUUCGCAGCGGAAUUUAUUCAACAUCUAAAACAGUCUUUGGCACGAAGGCCUCAUCAUAAAAAAUCUCAUAAAAUUCAAUCAACAACUUAUUCAUGAAAAUUCAUAAAGCAAUACGUAAGGAAUAGAAAAGCAAUAACAAAGUUCUCAUCCCGUUACGUAUCAGAGCACCUAAAGACACACGUGAGAGAUAGUCCACUCACGACAGCAACUAACAACAACUUAUUCUCGAUCACCUGCAAGUUACCCAUACAAAGGGCAACAUUUCCAAGCAGAAGGGGUGAGAUUUCACAAACAAUAAUAUUAAGCAUAUAAUUCAUCAAUUAUAUUUAACAACAUAAACAUCACCAAUUCAUCAUAAUUCUUCAUAAAACAUAACAACUUGACUCGACAAUGCAACUUCGACUUGACUAUGCAACUUAUCUUCUUAAUCAUGCAUGUGGUACCAAUCCAGGGCAUCAAGCCCUCAACUUAUUUGAGCAUUAAUAUACUCCCAGGGCAUCAAUCUCUCAACUUAAUUUAGCAAAGGCUCCAGGUCAUCAAGCCCCCAACUUUAAUGAUAAUGCAUGGACUCAAUCAACUUGUACAUCUUAGAUAACAUCAACAACUUAAGACUCCAAUACUUUGGAACAACAUCUUUCAUCUUAGACCGGCUCAUGUAGUUUAAUUAAUAGACAACAUCAACAUAGGCAGCACAAUAACAAUCCAGAUAUAACAAUAUCAAAGAGGAAAUCAACAUCAACUUAAACAUCUUAUAUAAUUUACAUAAUGCAUAUACAACUAUAUCACAUUACUAACAACAUCAAAUCAUUUAUAUCAGACUCUCUGAAACAUCAACAGUAUUAUAAUCAACCUCCAUUCCUACCCCAAGGAUCAACUUAUAACCUCACGUGCGACAAAAAUCGCAUAAACUCUAAACAAGGUAGUCUGUCUCUAAAGAGCUCGCGAGGCGAGGGACAUUGCUCGCUAUGGCGAGUUCAGGAAAUGGCUAUUCGCCUUGGCGAGUAAGCAGCUCGCCUUGGCGAACAAGAAACUGGGUGCUCUCAGGAAUUUGACAUUUUUCACCAAAAAAUCUCAUAUUUAAACUUCCCCAUGUUCCAUUUCAAUCUAAAAACUUGUCUAAUCAUUCUUAUACAUAUUCAUGCACCCAAAACCAUCUAAAGCUCGACUAAAGGAGUUAAAUCACAAAAUCAGGUUUUCUCUCUGGUCAACUCGCUAUGGCGAGCUACAAAGUGAAACUCGCGAGGCGAAGGGAAUUGCUCGCGAGGUGAGCGAUGAAGUUCAUCACUCGCGAGGGCGAGCGAUGAAUCUCAGCUCGGGCAGAAUGUAGAUUUUUACGAAAAUCCACCUAACCACAUGGUUCAAAGCUUAAAACUGAUUCUAAACAUCACCCUAUGGAUUAUCUAAGGUCCGUACACACUUUAUACAUCAAUUCUACAAGUUUCCAUCAUCUAAUCCUCAAUUAUCACUCUUAACCCUGAUUUCCAAUUCUCCAAAACUAAUCCUACAACAUGUUAAAUCUAAUCAUCAGAAUCAUAGGCUUAAGAAAACUGAAUGUUAGUCCCACCCUUACCUUAACAAAAUCGAUCAGCAACCUCUCUUGGUUCUUCUCUCCUCUUGUUCUCCCUUUUCUCCAAAACUCGUUGUACGUGAAAAUAAUUCUAAACCUAUUUUAUCCUAUUUAUCUCUUCCCAUCUAUUUUAUCUUUUCCCACAAAACUCUCUAAAUUCUCAAAACAACCCCUCAUCUCAAUAUUUAUUUUAUUUUCAAAUAUUAUUCUAUUAAAUAAUAAAAUAAGGCCUCUUAAUAAAUCACAACACAUCACAUAAUCAUUUAAAUCACAUAAGUCAUCUAAACAGACUCUAAACUCCACAAAAAUAAUCAAAUAAACAAAGAGGGCGUUACAGCAACUCCCAAAGAAAUAGUACAAUUGAAACUCGAAAACAACUUCAUUGUUUUUUACUUGGAAACUUUUUUUUUUCUUUCUUUCCAGCAUUCAAGUCAUCACAGUGGGUUAAAUUUAGUGGAAAACUACCCAUCUUGAUAAAUUUUUUAAUAUUGACCUUUUUUAAAUGUUGUUUUCAUUAAGAAAUCUAUAAAAACUGCUUCAUGAAUAUUAUGGGUUAGUGCCUUAAUCAACCCUAAAAAGACUCCUAUUGUUUGACCUCCAUUUCAUUUCUCUUGGUUUAUUUAUUUUUUGUUCAAAAUCUUUAUAUCAGUUUACAUUAAAGGUAUACUUGAUUGUUGUUUCCAAAUUUCUGAUUGAAUGUCAUUCUUUACCAAUGUAGGGAUGUUAGAUGGUUGUUUGAAACUGUGAAUAAAUCUAUGUAAUGUUAGAUAAAUUGGAGCAAGAAGAUAGCCAUGCGGUUGUAGCUUAAUGCUGGAGAAGAGAAGAAUAGUUAUUUAUGAUCAAGUAAAACCUUAGAAAAGAACUUUGAGUUUGACAACUAGAUAGAGCAAGAGCCAUAGGAGAGAUCAUGGUUUAGUAUUUGGACCUGUCCGGGCCUUGCUGCCAGUUUAUU
rnacentral:lncRNA from 1 species